rnacentral:rRNA from 1 species
UACGUAGGGUGCAAACGUUGCUCGGAAUCACUGGGCGUAAAGGGCGUGUAGGCGGGACGGUAAGUCGGGCGUGAAAUCCCUAGGCUCAACCUAGGAACUGCACUCGAAACUACCAUUCUUGAGUGUCGGAGAGGAAAGCGGAAUUCCUGGUGUAGAGGUGAAAUUCGUAGAUAUCAGGAGGAACACCAGUGGCGAAGGCGGCUUUCUGGACGAUAACUGACGCUGAGACGCGAAAGCGUGGGGAGCAAACAGG